rnacentral:rRNA from 1 species
UACGAAGGGGGCUAGCGUUGCUCGGAAUCACUGGGCGUAAAGAGCGCGCAGGCGGUCGUUCAAGUCGCGUGUGAAAGCCCCCGGCUCAACUGGGGAGGGUCACGCGAUACUGAUCGACUCGAAGGCAGGAGAGGGUAGUGGAAUUCCCGGUGUAGUGGUGAAAUGCGCAGAUAUCAGGAGGAACACCGGUGGCGAAGGCGGGUCUCUGGGCCGAUACUGACGCUGAGGAGCGAAAGCGUGGGGAGCGAACAGG